UCCGGUUUGUCACCGGCAGUCUCCCUAGAGUGCCCUUGCGUAGCAACUAGGGACAAGGGUUGCGCUCGUUGCGGGACUUAACCCAACAUCUCACGACACGAGCUGACGACAGCCAUGCACCACCUGUGCACAGGCCCCGAAGGGCUGCCGUGUUUCCACGACAUUCCUGUGCAUGUCAAGCCCAGGUAAGGUUCUUCGCGUCGCGUCGAAUUAAAGAACAUGCUCCGCUGCUUGUGCGGGCCCCCGUCAAUUCCUUUGAGUUUCAAUCUUGCGAUCGUACUUCCCAGGUGGAUCACUUAAUGCUUUUGCUCAGACACCAACAGUGUAUCGCUGAUGUCGAGUGAUCAUCGUUUAGGGCGUGGACUAC
rnacentral:misc_RNA from 1 species